UUUCUCGUACUUGAUUUAUUUCUCUGCUCUGUUUGCAGAGGCAAAAUCUGGUCAAAGGGAAUACGCAACUCUUUUCAGUGGAACAACAGAGAAGUCAAGCUCUGGAAGCUCAUGCUGCUGCUUUUGCACAAUUUAAAGUUCCAGGGAAUGAGAAUCUUUCUACUCUCAUUUCCUUUGCAACAAAGACUUUUAAUGUUGGCCAAAUUACAUCAAAGCUGCAUGUUAUAGAUCUUGGUGCCCAACCAGGCGGUGUGUUUUGCUUUAAUGGGCAUUGGCAACUCAUUUCAUGCUCAAGAAACUGCUGUGAGUGGGCAAUUGGAGAGUCGAGUGUGGUAAAUACUGUUCUUUUCCUGUGUACUGUGUUAUGUUUCGGGU